rnacentral:lncRNA from 1 species
GCGGUGGCGCACGCCUUUAAUCCUAGCACUCAGGAGGUUGAGGCAGGUGAAUCUCUGUGAGUUCGAGUCCAGCCUGGUCUACAGAACUAGAUCCAGGACAGCUAGGGCUACACAGAGAAACCCUGUCUCCAAAAACAAAACCAAACAAAUGAAAAACUCGUUUAUAAAUAAAAUGGAGCUGGUCCUAACUCUAGACUACAUAUCAAGAGUCUGUCCCAGAAGAAAGGGAGGGAAGGAAGAAUGGUGGGAAGAAAAGAAGAGGGACUUGCAAAAGCUCCUUUAUGUUUAUAUCUAGAAUAGAGCUAGCUGAUCCUAGUUCUGAGAAUUAAAUGCAAAACAUUCACCAGCAGGACAUCUGAAAGUCUCCUAAGACAAUCCCUUGUGGUCCAGGACUAUCCUACAGGAUGCCCAACAUGGCGGGCAAGCGCCACUAAAUGCCAGUAAGCCUCCCCUUUAUUGAGACAAAAAUGCUCAAGUUCCAAUUGCCUUCAAGAAAGCAGCUCCGCCCCUCUUGAGAGUCAAGGAGGCAGGAAGUGAAGAGAGCCUAGGAGGCGCCUGGGUUCUGGCCAAGGGCGUGCCUGAAGUCCUGCGGGAGCACGACCCUAACCCAAUCUCCCAGCUUCUCCGCCGCAAAAUUCAUUGCGCUCCCCUGCCAGACGGUGGAGCUAGAGAGCCUCGUACAGGUCGGGGUCCUCCGGUUCAGGUUUGAGGCAGGGCUGACUCAACCCUCCAGGGAUGACACAGCAGGGCUGACUAGUGUGGCCUGCUAGCAACAGCUGCAUUUAUUGAAUAAUUGGCUAAUUCUUUACUUUUUUUUCAUUUAACUUUAACGACCUAUUACAAGUAGCGCGUUGGAAGGUUCAGACAGCUGCAAGCUCCGUCAAGAAAUCACUGUGAUAAGGCAGGGCGAUGUCACCAACCCCUAACCAAGAAAUUAAAAUCUCUUGCGAUCUUCUAAGUGUCCCUGGGCUCACCGCCCAGUGGGGCUGCCGCAGGCCCCUCCUCCCUCCCUGCGGUCAGCUGGGACUUCUGCGGGGGCUGAUCACAUUCAGUCACGCAGAGGCUCCGCCCACUUCCUGGCCAAUCACUGCACUGCCCUCUCCCUCCUUCGCUGCUGCAAGCACCAAAUGGAUACCCGCGCCUUUAGCCCGCCAUCUCAAGGGUUUAAGGGCUUGGGUAGUGACUUCCACAGGAAGAAGAUUCGGAGCUUGUGAAUCUAAAGCUGGCAUUGUUAGAAAGAAAUGUGGUUGGCUGACUUGCUGA